CAACAAAAUCGUCUCGAUGCAGUUCACUACCCAAAUGUGUCUCCGGAGUUCGGAUCCUCCUAAAAUCUGAAGGAGUGGUGAGUAGACGACCUACCGAUCCCCGCUUCCUCGUCAUAGAACUGCUUGUUUGACGCUGACGAACGGCUCUUCUCCGACAGUUCCUGUUCCGAUGGAUCUCGGCCAAGAUAGAUAUGCAGAGUAUUCUUUCUUCUGUUCCUUCGGACAAGAAGGAGCAUAAGAGCAUCUAAAAUAAACUCUCGGCGAUGGAUUAUCUUUUGUGACCUUCUGACCAUAUUUCCUCCAUUGAUCAGCGGCUGCAGUGCUUGUGAACAUAUCUAUGGAUAAUCUGCCAACUCAGACACUCCAUUUGGUCGACGAUGUGUGAGGAGGUAAAUCGAAAAAAAUUAUAGUUGGUUAAUGUAAGGAGCAUUUUUUUUUUCUCUAAACUUUGCCGAGAUUUGAAUAUUUAUCCAAUGAUAAUAAUUUUAUCCCGCCCUAGCCGACUCAACUUUACCGGGGCACUUCUGAACAUGUCCAGCCACCGAAUUAAGUGGUUACACGUAAGAUUUUGUUUUCCAUAAUCCUUAAUUUCCGAGUAAAACAAGUUGUCUCUAGCCCAUGCAAUUGCAUAGCAAGUGCAGAUUGACUGUCUCCAUGCACUUUUUUAAAGGAAGUCAAGCUACGGCUCUUGUUUAUUGAUCGCCACCUUGACUCUUAAAUGUAAAUGAUGAUAAUAAUUAGGAAAUGGAUCUAUAAGACUCAAGAGCAC